rnacentral:rRNA from 1 species
UAAAGUGGCGCACGGGUGAGUAACACGUGAAUAAUCUACCUCCAAGUGGGGAAUAACUGAGAGAAAUCUUAGCUAAUACCGCAUAAUACCCACGGGUCAAAGCAGCAAUGCGCUUGGAGAGGAGUUCGCGGCCGAUUAGUUAGUUGGCGGGGUAAUGGCCCACCAAGACGAUGAUCGGUAUCCGGCCUGAGAGGGCGCACGGACACACUGGAACUGAAACACGGUCCAG